GACGUAGGGCGCGAGCGUUGUCCGGAUUUAUUGGGCGUAAAGGGCUCGUAGGCGGUUUGUCGCGUCGGGAGUGAAAACCCAGGGCUUAACUCUGGGCUUGCUUUCGAUACGGGCAGACUAGAGGUAUGCAGGGGAGAACGGAAUUCCUGGUGUAGCGGUGAAAUGCGCAGAUAUCAGGAGGAACACCGGUGGCGAAGGCGGUUCUCGGGGCAUUACCUGACGCUGAGGAGCGAAAGUGUGGGGAGCGAACAGG
rnacentral:rRNA from 1 species